AGAUGGGUCCCAUAUAGACUUGGCUCAAAACCCCAAGUAGUACCUGGCUGACGGCAUUUGUGGUGAAAGUUUUGUCACUGAGCCGCCAAUACCAGGCUGUGGAUGAAGCCAAGAUCCGUGAAUCGGUGCAGUGGCUGCUUGGAAAACAACAGUCGGAUGGCUCCUUCCACGACCCAUCGCCCGUCUACCACCGGGAGAUGCAGGGAGGUGUUGGUGGCCUUCAUGGGAAAGUUUCGCUCACGGCUUUUGUCACCAUUGCGCUCAGAGAGGCAUUGGCCAUGUAUGAAG